AAAGGAUUCAACAGAUAAUGACAGAUUGAAAUAAAAUAAUAAAAUCAAUUUAAAGAUAAAACAAAUUUAUUGUUGGCAUUUGUUUGCACCCUAUAUGGAAUGUACUGACCCCAUGUACAUAUGGUAUUCAUGAUUAGGUCACUAAGACAUCAUGUAACUAAUAAAAUAUAUAAAACCCAAAACGAAUACUAGGCGAUAGCAAUACACCGAAAUUCCCCCAUGGUCAUCCGCUGUAAAAAAAAAAAAAAAAAAACAACAUCUGGUAGUCGACUAUAAAAGGCUGGACAUAAACAAAUUGAUUAAUUGAUAAAACUAAGUAAGUAUCAUACGAAUAAACCAUGAGCAUGAUGAGGGCAGAUAAAGAAAACAAACAAAAAUGAAGAAAUAGCACCAAUCCAGAACAAAAUCAGAACCA
rnacentral:lncRNA from 1 species